rnacentral:rRNA from 1 species
UACGUAGGGGGCAAGCGUUGUCCGGAUUUAUUGGGCGUAAAGAGCGUGUAGGCGGCCAUACAGGUCAGCUGUGAAAACUCGAGGCUCAACCUCGAGACGUCGGUUGAAACCGUAUGGCUAGAGUCCGGAAGAGGAGAGUGGAAUUCACGGUGUAGCGGUGAAAUGCGUAGAUAUCGGGAGGAACACCUGUGGCGAAAGCGGCUCACUGGACCACAACUGACGCUGAGGCGCGAAAGCUAGGGGAGCAAACAGG